AGUGACCUAAAGAGUAGAAAAUUUGGGUAAUUAGUUCCUUGCUCUUGAUGAAAAAAAAGAAAAAGAGAAGCAAGCUGAUCUUCUGAGGAUUCGUUGGCGGCGGCGAUAAAAACUAUCAUCGUGUGAGCUUCAGGUAUUUCGAGAUUCGUCCAAUAUCAUAGAGUAAAUGACUAGAUUUCGACAUAGCAUGUGCUUAGAUAUUCUGUAAAUUGUGAAAUCACAGCGGCAAAGUUAAAAUAUGGACACAACUAGAAACAUAUGUAUUUUUGAGAGAAAGAUGUGUAAUGAUGACCGUAUGAUGUUGUUGGAAAAUAAUAAUAAUGAUGUAAUGGUUAUUAGCUUGUAAAGGAUAGAUGUGAGAUAUGGAAACUAUAAAAAAAAUGUACUGCUUGUGAAAUUGAACAUAUUUAAAAAAGCUACAGUUGUGGACUUUUUUAUCAUUUAGUACAUAGAGUAUAACUUUCAAUCAUGAUGUAAUGAUGAGGGUAAUGAGAAAGUGAAAAAAUCAUAUGGUAGUAUAAGUUAUGGUAUAGUUUUCUGAAGCUACUACGGUUUCGGCACUUUCGAAAUACUACUGUCAGCAUAUGUUUGUGUACAAUUAUUUAUUAGUUGGAUUGGGGGUUGGCUUUGAUUUUGACUCUGUCGUAAGAUUAUGAAAAAUUAUUCAUCUAGACUAUUUAGGACAUAUUAUUCAAUAUUUUGGAUAGAUUGAGGCCAUUGGAGGCCGUUUGGUUGGUGUCUUAGACAUUGCAAGGUUGGAGAACUUCUCGUUAGCGAGAUACCGUUGCGGGAGAUAGAGCUAGUGGCCGACGAGUUUGUUCGAGUGGAUCUUAUUGCUGAGGUGAGCCACCACAUUGUUCGUGGAGGCUUUCGUUUCAGACUUGCUUAGUUCGUGUUAGUUACUUCUUCUUUUUUUGUCGGUUUGCAUACCCGUCAAUAAAACACAUAUUACUCUGUUAGAUGCUCCAUGGUCUUAGUGUGGGAUUUGAGCUAGAGUUUUAUUAUUUGAGUGAUUGUUGGUUUUUCUAUCAAUUGACUAAAGUAUUGAGUGAUAAUCAUUAUCUCUUUAAUUAUUAAUAAUACUUUAGGCCUGUACUUUUUUCUCA